rnacentral:rRNA from 1 species
UACCCGUGAGGGAAAGUUGCAAAGAACUUUGAAGAGAGAGUUCAAGAGGGCGUGAAACCGCUUAGAAGGAAACGGGUGGAGCCGAUGAUAGUCGGCGGGAUUCAGCGUGUCGCGUUCAAUCGAGCGGCUUGAGAAUGGCAAGUCGCUUGAGCGUUCGUGGCGCGUGCACUUCCUGUCGAUGUGCGUCAGACACGACGACUGUGCUGGACUUGAAGGUGGCGAGAGCCGGCCAAUCUCCGGAUUGGUGUCCUAUCGUCGCACGAUCCCGAGUCGCGGUCGUCGGGUCUUAUUUCUGGCGUCAGCUCAUGCGCGGUAAGUGUCUGCUCUCGAAGGAUUGAACUACUGGGAAUCUGCUUGCAGGCCUCGGUGAUUCUCUUUCGAGUUGUUGGGCGCGGUCCGAGUGGGCGCCAGUCUCUGUCUGAUGAUCAUGUCGGUAAACCCCCCGACCCGUCUUGAAACACGGACCAAGGAGUCUAACAUGUGCGCGAGUCAUUGGGUUUCGAAACUCAAAGGCGAAAUGAAGGUGAAGAUCGGUUCGGCCGAUCGACAUGGGACCCGGAUUUUGACGAUUCCGGAGCACCAUGGUCCCGUCGCGAUUGCAUUGCCAAUGUGGCGGAGAUGGAGCGCACACGUUGGUACCCGAAAGAUGGUGAACUAUGCCUGAGCAGGAUGAAGCCAGAGGAAACUCUGGUGGAGGUCCGUAGCGGUUCUGACGUGCAAAUCGAUCGUCAGACUUGGGUAUAGGGGCGAAAGACUAAUCGAACCAUCUAGUAGCUGGUU